CAGGUGUGGUGGUGCACACCUGUAAUCCCAGUGACGUGGGAGAUUGAGGCAGGAGGAUCACAAGUUUGAGGCUAGGCUCAGCAACUUAGUGAAACCCUAUCUCAA
rnacentral:sRNA from 1 species